CAAGUACUCCCUCCGUUCGGAAUUACUUGUCUCGGAAAUGGAUGUAUCUAAAACUAAAACACGUCUAGAUACAUCCAUUUCUGCGAUAAGUAAUUCCGAACGGAGGGAGUAAUUC
rnacentral:pre_miRNA from 1 species